UGAGGAAUAUUGGGCAAUGCCCGAAAGGGUGACCCAGCAACGCCGCGUGGAGGAUGAAGGUCGUAAGAUUGUAAACUCCUGUUAGAGGGGAAGAAUAACUAAGUUUGGAGCUUAGUAUGACUGUACCCUCAGAGAAAGCCCCGGCUAACUACGUGCCAGCAGCCGCGGUAAUACGUAGGGGGCAAGCGUUGUCCGGAUUUACUGGGUGUAAAGGGCGCGCAGGCGGAAUGGAAAGUCAGUGGUGAAAUCCUACAGCUUAACUUGGAAACUGCCGUUGAUACUAUAGGUCUUGAAUUAUCUGGAGGUAAGCGGAAUAUGUCAUGUAGCGGUGAAAUGCUUAGAUAUUACAUAGAACACCAAUUGCGAAGGCAGCUUACUACAUAUAAAUUGACGCUGAGACACGAAAGCGUGGGGAUCAAACA
rnacentral:rRNA from 1 species